GAGGAAUAUUGGUCAAUGGGCGCGAGCCUGAACCAGCCAAGUAGCGUGCAGGAUGACGGCCCUAUGGGUUGUAAACUGCUUUUGUAUGGGGAUAAAGUCAAUCACGUGUGAUUGUUUGCAGGUACCAUACGAAUAAGGACCGGCUAAUUCCGUGCCAGCAGCCGCGGUAAUACGGAAGGUCCGGGCGUUAUCCGGAUUUAUUGGGUUUAAAGGGAGCGUAGGCUGGAGAUUAAGUGUGUUGUGAAAUGUAGACGCUCAACGUCUGACUUGCAGCGCAUACUGGUUUCCUUGAGUACGCACAACGUUGGCGGAAUUCGUCGUGUAGCGGUGAAAUGCUUAGAUAUGACGAAGAACUCCGAUUGCGAAGGCAGCUGACGGGAGCGCAACUGACGCUGAAGCUCGAAGGUGCGGGUAUCGAACAGGAUUAGAUACCCUGGUAGUCCGCACAGUAAACGAUGGAUGCCCGCUGUUGGUACGUGGUAUCAGCGGCUAAGCGAAAGCAUUAAGCAUCCCACCUGGGGAGUACGCCGGCAACGGUG
rnacentral:rRNA from 1 species